GAUGAACGCUGGCGGCGUGCCUAAUACAUGCAAGUCGAGCGAACGGACGAGAAGCUUGCUUCUCUGAUGUUAGCGGCGGACGGGUGAGUAACACGUGGAUAACCUACCUAUAAGACUGGGAUAACUUCGGGAAACCGGAGCUAAUACCGGAUGAUAUUUUGAACCGCAUGGUUCAAAAGUGAAAGACGGUCUUGCUGUCACUUAUAGAUGGAUCCGCGCUGCAUUAGCUAGUUGGUAAGGUAACGGCUUACCAAGGCAACGAUGCAUAGCUGACCUGAGAGGGUGAUCGGCCACACUGGAACUGAGACACGGUCCAGACUCCUACGGGAGGCAGCAGUAGGGAAUAUUCCGCAAUGGGCGAAAGCCUGACGGAGCAACGCCGCGUGAGUGAUGAAGGUCUUCGGAUCGUAAAACUCUGUUAUUAGGGAAGAACAUAUGUGUAAGUAAAUGUGCACAUCUUGACGGUACCUAAUCAGAAAGCCACGGCUAACUACGUG
rnacentral:rRNA from 1 species